ACCGCGCACAAAUUGCCUUUAUGCUGAAGGAUCCACCUCCCCAAAAUGGCUACUCAAGAGUCAUUACCAAAGUUUGACUGCUGCUACUGCUAUAGAAGAUCAUUUCUGUUUGACUCCUGACAAAUGAGUAAUCACAUGGAGGUGGACAAUUCCCUUGUCUGGUAAGAUAUAAUUCUUUUUCAUUUCUUUCUAAGGAUACUAGAAUGAAU